ensembl:lncRNA
CUGUUCCUAGACCGUCAUUGAAAAUAAGAAUUUGUUCUUAACUGACUUGCCUAGUAAAAUAAAUUUUAAAAAGGACGUUGAGGUGUGAUUAUGUGGGAGUGGGUCAGUAGUAAACAUGUUUAAGGACAGUGAGGUGGGUCGGUAGUAAACAUGUUUAAGGACAGUGAGGUGGGUCAGUAGUAAACAUGUUUAAGGACAGUGAGGUGUGAUUAUGUGGGAGUGGGUCAGUAGUAAACAUGUUUAAGGACAGUGAGGUGUGAUUAUGUGGGAGUGGGUCAGUAGUAAACAUGUUUAAGGACAGUGAGGUGUGAUUAUGUGGGAGUGGGUCAGUAGUAAACAUGUUUAAGGACAGUGAGGUGUGAUUAUGUGGGGGUGGGUCAGUAGUAAACAUGUUUAAGGACAGUGAGGUGUGAUUAUGUGGGGGUGGGUCAGUAGUAAACAUGUUUAAGGACAGUGAGGUGUGAUUAUGUGGGGGUGGGUCAGUAGUAAACAUGUUUAAGGACAGUGAGGUGUGAUUAUGUGGGGGUGGGUCGGUAGUAAACAUAUAUA